CGGGAUGUAGCGCAGCCCGGUAGCGCGCGUCGUUCGGGACGACGAGGCCGCAGGUUCGAAUCCUGUCAUCCCGACAA
rnacentral:tRNA from 1 species